CCCCUCCCCCGCCCCUCCCCCGCAGCCAUCUUUGCGAGUCCGGAACCGCUGCGUGUCCUGUGCGGCUCUGUCCCCCGCCGAGGCCGCCACGCGCCGUCCGUGUCCCCCGCACUCCGCUGGGACGGCGCUCCUGGGCUGCGGUGUCCACCCAACCCGCUGCUGGGGAUCCGGGUGGGGCGAGACCUGACGGGGCUCGGGGACAUCCCCCAGCUAAGGGGAAGGGGGUGACCCCGGCGGGAAGGACACUGGGACCCUCAGCUGUGCGGGGACCUGGGACCCACGUCCUGGGACCCCCUCCCCGUCCUCGUCGCCUCUCAGUCCCCUCCCCCCGCGGUGGAGCUGCUGCUUCCAGGGAGGUGGUUGGCGGGAGCGGGGGUACCCCACACCUCGCAGAGGUCCCCCGGGCUCUGGUGCUGCGCAGCCCCCCCAACUCUGCCUGCCCAGGACCCCCGGGACAUCGUGACGCCUCCCCAGCGGGCAGCUGGCCACCUGCCUGCUCUGUACCCCGCGGAUGUCGUUACCACCUAGACAGUGGCCCCAGGAGGAGAAAAUUGAUAUUGAUGUCCUCGUGCUCAGAACCCUCUGGCGCAGAGACCGCCAUGCAGCUUCGUCUCAGGAUGCCCACAGCAGCCCUGGUACCCUCAUAGGGCCCGUCCCAGCCUGCUUCAAGCCUCAGCUCCCUGCCACGGCCCUGGUAACUCCCAUCACCGCCUUCCUGCACUUUCUGCGUGCUGCCUGUUUAUUGCCUCCCUUCUGGGCUGGAACACAAUCUCGCUGUAAAC
rnacentral:lncRNA from 1 species